rnacentral:tRNA from 1 species
AGGCUCAUGGUGUAAUUGGUUAACACACGAGAUUUUGAUUCUCGCGUUCAGGGUUCGAGUCCUUGUGGGCCUG